rnacentral:lncRNA from 1 species
GCCUGCUUCUCUUUCUCUCCGCGGGCUGGCCCCGCUCGCCGCCAAGUUGCGCCCCGCCCGCGGGGCAGCGGGUGUCGUCGGGGCCGCGCAGCGCAGGGCGCGGGGAGCAGGGCGGCCCCGAGACCCGGUGCCCCCAGCCAGCCCAGGGCGCGGGGUGCACGGCGGACCCGAGACCCCGUGCGCCCACCGAGCCCAGGGCGCGGGGAGCAGGGCGGACCCGAGACCCCGUGCGCCCGCCCAGCCCAGGGCGCGGGGUGCAGGGCGGACCCGAGACCCCGUGCGCCCACCGAGCCCAGGGCGCGGGGAGCAGGGCGGACCCGAGACCCCGUGCGCCCGCCCAGCCCAGGGCGCGGGGUGCAGGGCGGACCCGAGACCCCGUGCGCCCACCGAACCCAGGGCGCGGGGAGCAGGGCGGACCCGAGACCCCGUGCGCCCUCCCAGCCCAGGGCGCGGGGAGCAGGGCGGACCCGAGACCCCGUGCGCCCACCGAGCCCAGGGCGCGGGGAGCAGGGCGGACCCGAGACCCCGUGCGCCCUCCCAGCCCAGGGCGCGGGGAGCAGGGCGGACCCGAGACCCCGUGCGCCCACCGAGCCCAGGGCGCGGGGUGCAGGGCGGACCCGAGACCCCGUGCGCCCACCGAGCCCAGGGCGCGGGGAGCAGGGCGGACCCGAGACCCCGCGCGCCCUCCCAGCCCAGGGCGCGGGGUGCAGGGCGGACCCGAGACCCCGCGCGCCCUCCCAGCCCAGGGCGCGGGGAGCAGGGCGGACCCGAGACCUCGUGCGCCCAGCCCAGUGCGCGGAGACCCGGGCUGACCUGAGACCCCAUGCAGCCAGCCUAGGGGAGCGGGGACCCGGGCGGACCUUGGGCCCAGUGCGCCCAGCCCAGGGCGGCAGGAUCCGGGUGGACCUGAGACCCCGUGCUCCCAGCCCAGGGAUGCGGGAGGCGCGGGGAGGCCUCCGCCGGGGGAGCGGGUGCGGGGCGCAGGAAGGGGCCGGCACCCCCGGAGGGUGCUCGGUGGGGGAGCCGGACCCUCUGGGACUUCAGCUGGAGAAGGCAGACUUCUUCCAGAAAACUCUGGUGAGAUUCUGGGCAAAUGCACAUGUUGGUGCCUUCUCUCCCCUCUCCUCCCCUUCCCAGGUCUAA